rnacentral:rRNA from 1 species
UACGGAGGGUGCAAGCGUUAUCUGGAUUCACUGGGUUUAAAGGGUGCGUAGGUGGGCAAGUAAGUCAGUGGUGAAAUCUCCGGGCUUAACCCGGAAACUGCCAUUGAUACUAUUUGUCUUGAAUACUGUGGAGGUCAGCGGAAUAUGUCAUGUAGCGGUGAAAUGCUUAGAUAUGACAUAGAACACCAAUUGCGAAGGCAGCUGGCUACACAAAUAUUGACACUGAGGCACGAAAGCGUGGGGAUCAAACAGG